rnacentral:rRNA from 1 species
CCUACGGGCGGCAGCAGUGAGGAAUAUUGGUCAAUGGGCGGAAGCCUGAACCAGCCAAGUAGCGUGCGGGAUGAAGGCCCUACGGGUCGUAAACCGCUUUUGCACGGGGAUAACACCCUCCACUUGUGGAGGUUUGCAGGUACCGUGCGAAUAAGGGCCGGCUAAUUCCGUGCCAGCAGCCGCGGUAAUACGGAAGUCCCGAGCGUUAUCCGGAUUCAUUGGGCUUAAAGGGAGCGUAGGCGGGCGUUCAAGUCAGCUGUACAAUCGCGCGGCUCAACCGUGAACCGCAGUUGAAACUGGAAGCCUUGAGUUCACAACAGGCAGGCGGAAUUCGUGGUGUAGCGGUGAAAUGCAUAGAUAUCACGAGGAACCCCGAUUGCGAAGGCAGCCUGCCGGGGUGCGACUGACGCUGAGGCUCGAAGGUGCGGGUAUCAAACAGGAUUAGAUACCCUUGUAGUC